UGACCACUCAAGCCUAGCUUGGUAUUGGGGUUCGCGGUCUCGCGGCUCAUAAAAUCAGUGGCAGUGCCGUCCGGCUCUAAGCGUAGUAAUUUUCUCGCUAUGGAGUCCGGGUGGUUGCUUGCUAAAAACCUCAACUCCUCAC
rnacentral:misc_RNA from 1 species